rnacentral:lncRNA from 1 species
UAAUAUUUCUACAACUAGUAUCUUUUCAUUGAGUAUUCUAUAUGCAUUGCUUGAUGAAUGAAAUCCAAAGAUAGGAAUAUCUUCAUCAGAUUUGGCAUUAUUUUCAUAAGAACAUAUCAAGCAUAUCAUGUAUAAUUGAAAAAUAUGAAAGAUAUGCAAUAGCUCAUUUUCUAUUUUUUAGAAGAUCAAAAAGAGUUUUCAUCAAAAAUAGAUCUAAUAGAGACCAUAUGUAUGACAAGCAGUGAUGAUAGCUUUUAACAAAAAUCAUUUAAGUAGAUGACUAUCAUACAAUAUUGUCUUUUUCAUUUCUUCAAGGAUUCUAUUAACCCUAUUGUACUUAUGGUGUUCUUGGUGCAGAAACAAUUGUAUUCAAUAUUAUUUUCUGUGCACAACUUAACAAAAAAUUGGUUUUCUAAACUAUGCCAUGAUACUUCUUUAUUUUCACAGUUUUCAAACCUUUUUCAUCCCUUUUUGUGAGUUUGAUCCAAUGCAGAAAAUUUUUCAGUUUAAGUACCAAGAACAAACCCAAUGUAAGCUUUUGAAAACUUAGUGACGGAAACAACAUCUUUAGAUUUAGAAAUUGAUUUUUGGUUUGUUUCCUUAGUUAACAUGCAUAGCAAACUUUGACCUUGCAAAAGAUAAUCUAAGUAAACCAAUGACAAGGUCUUUUGAAAUUAGGUCCAUACUAGCAUAAGUUAAUUUUACAUGCCCAAAAAAAAUCUUUGAUAUUAGUAUUUAUAAUGCUUAUUUUUUUAGAGCAUAAUAAGUACAUAUUCUUAUGUCUAUGAUCAAUAGAAGAUAAUGCCAUGGAUAAAACUCUCAAUCAAGCAUAUAGAGAAUUCAUAGCGUUAUUCUUAAUAAGUUGAUUAAUUAUUUAGCAACUUAUCCAACAGUAAGUAAAGCAUACAAUAAAAUGAAGUGAUUUCAUUAUAUAUAUAUUUUUAAAAGUAUUACCUAUAUCACAACAUUGAUUAAUACCUGCAAUUCAUGUUUUAAUCAGAUACUAAGGCAAAGAGAAUGCAAGGGUUACUAAUUUCAUUAUUCUUUUCAUUUC